CUUGGCCUGUUGAGAACCAGGCUGCACAGCAGGAGGUGAGUGAUGGGUGAGUGAGCAAAGUUUCAUCUGUAUUUCCAGCCGCUCCCCAUUGCUCACAUUACUACCUGAGCUCUGCCUCCUGUCAGAUCAGCGGAGGCAUUCAUUCUCAAA